GGCAACGUGGCCGAGUGGUUAAGGCGAUUGCCUCGAAAGCAAUUCCGUUCGCGGGCGCAGGUUCGAAUCCUGCCGUUGUCG
rnacentral:tRNA from 2 species